rnacentral:lncRNA from 1 species
GGGUCUGGUCUGAUAGAGUGUUUCCACCUGGGGUCUGGUCUGAUAGAGUGUUUUCACCUGGUGUCUGGUCUGAUAGUGUUUUACAGUUGGGGUCGGUCGGUAGAGUGUUUUUCACCUGGGG